rnacentral:rRNA from 1 species
GAUGAACGCUGGCGGCGUGCUUAACACAUGCAAGUCGAACGGAAAGGCCCAAGCUUGCUUGGGUACUCGAGUGGCGAACGGGUGAGUAACACGUGGGUGAUCUGCCCUGCACUUCGGGAUAAGCCUGGGAAACUGGGUCUAAUACCGGAUAGGACCACUUCUUGGAUGUUGUGGUGGAAAGUUUUUUCGGUGUGGGAUGAGCUCGCGGCCUAUCAGCUUGUUGGUGGGGUAAUGGCCUACCAAGGCGUCGACGGGUAGCCGGCCUGAGAGGGUGUACGGCCACAUUGGGACUGAGAUACGGCCCAGACUCCUACGGGAGGCAGCAGUGGGGAAUAUUGCACAAUGGGCGCAAGCCUGAUGCAGCGACGCCGCGUGGGGGAUGACGGCCUCCGGGUUGUAAACUCCUUUCGCUAGGGAAGAAGCGUUGUGUGACGGUACCUGGAGAAGAAGCACCGGCUAACUACGUG